AGUGAACGCUGGCGGUAGGCCUAACACAUGCAAGUCGAACGGCAGCACAGUAAGAGCUUGCUCUUACGGGUGGCGAGUGGCGCACGGGUGAGGAAUACAUCGGAAUCUACUUUUUCGUGGGGGAUAACGUAGGGAAACUUACGCUAAUACCGCAUACGACCUACGGGUGAAAGCAGGGGAUCUUCGGACCUUGCGCGAUUGAAUGAGCCGAUGUCGGAUUAGCUAGUUGGCGGGGUAAAGGCCCACCAAGGCGACGAUCCGUAGCUGGUCUGAGAGGAUGAUCAGCCACACUGGAGCUGAGACACGGUCCAGACGCCUACGAGAGGCAGCAGUGGGGAAUAUUGGACAAUGGGCGCAAGCCUGAUCCAGCCAUACCGCGUGGGUGAAGAAGGCCUUCGGGUUGUAAAGCCCUUUUGUUGGGAAAGAAAAGCAGCAGGUUAAUACCCCGCUGUUCUGACGGUACCCAAAGAAUAAGCACCGGCUAACUUCGUG
rnacentral:rRNA from 1 species